AUACUUUUGCUUCUGUUUCUCCUCUGGCAGAUCAAGCAAAUACAAUCCAAGUGCGUGCAGCCCAUUCCCAUUCAAAAUGUAUCCGUCAUAAUAACAGCAUUCUCCCUGAUGCAUUAGACUCAAGGUGGACUUAAUUUGGAGAUCACCUAAGAAGACAUCUGUGGAAGGAAUGGCCUCAGCAUUGCAGUCACUUUCGAAGUCAAGAGGUAUUCUAGACAGACUACACAGUAUGUGUAGAAUGCUGAUAAUGCCAAGCUGUGUUUACAGUCCAAAUUUUUGCUAAAUACCUUCAACUUUGCACUCUCCCUGUGUGGUAUCUCUUGCCCAAGACAGAACUUCAAAUAAAAUCACAUAGGAGCUGAUGCAAGAAA
rnacentral:sRNA from 1 species